GGCAGCAAAUGGCGUCGGGAACUUCGAAACUUUCCUUUGUAUAUUACAUUAAUCCAUAUAAGAAAAUCUCUUUUAAUGAGGAGUGAUGUAGUUACAAACUCUCCAGAGCCAUAAUUAGAGCAAACUAAUUGAAGUUGUGUUUUGACACACUUUCCAAAUUCACGGGUGCUGCGUGACAUAUUCACAACACUGCCGCCGCACAGCCAUGGCGACGGCAAAAUCAUUAGGCUAAUAACACUUAUUUGCAUUCUUAUCAUGCCGGCAGCUCUCCCUUAAACACUGUUCUUACUAUUGCUCAUGUACUGUAAGUUUCCACUGAAAGAUAUUAACAGUAAUUAUUAGUACUUCAGUGGAAUUUUAAUGUUAAAGA
rnacentral:ncRNA from 9 species